rnacentral:rRNA from 1 species
UGGGGAAUCUUGGACAAUGGGCGAAAGCCUGAUCCAGCCAUGCCGCGUGUGUGAAGAAGGUCUUCGGAUUGUAAAGCACUUUAAGUUGGGAGGAAGGGCAGUUACCUAAUACGUAUCUGUUUUGACGUUACCGACAGAAUAAGCACCGGCUAACUCUGUGCCAGCAGCCGCGGUAAUACAGAGGGUGCAAGCGUUAAUCGGAAUUACUGGGCGUAAAGCGCGCGUAGGUGGUUUGUUAAGUUGGAUGUGAAAUCCCCGGGCUCAACCUGGGAACUGCAUUCAAAACUGACAAGCUAGAGUAUGGUAGAGGGUGGUGGAAUUUCCUGUGUAGCGGUGAAAUGCGUAGAUAUAGGAAGGAACACCAGUGGCGAAGGCGACCACCUGGACUGAUACUGACACUGAGGUGCGAAAGCGUGGGGAGCAAAC